AAGCAAGAUUUAGACAAAAGUAUGACUAACUGCUGUGUUGUUCUCCCUACUCAAAAUAAAAUUGCUCCUUUACUAUGUGGCAUCCAGGAAAGCUUGGUUUCAAAUAU
rnacentral:snoRNA from 1 species